rnacentral:rRNA from 1 species
AUACGUAGGGUGCAAGCGUUGUCCGGAAUUAUUGGGCGUAAAGAGCUCGUAGGCGGUUUGUCGCGUCUGCUGUGAAAGCCCGAGGCUCAACCUCGGGUCUGCAGUGGGUACGGGCAGACUGGAGUGCGGUAGGGGAGAUUGGAAUUCCUGGUGUAGCGGUGGAAUGCGCAGAUAUCAGGAGGAACACCGAUGGCGAAGGCAGAUCUCUGGGCGGUUACUGACGCUGAGGAGCGAAAGCAUGGGGAGCGAACAGGAUUAGAUACCCUGGUAGUCCAUGCCGUAAACGUUGGGCGCUAGAUGUGGGGACCAUUCCACGGUUUCCGUGUCGUAGCUAACGCAUUAAGCGCCCCGCCUGGGGAGUACGGCCGCAAGGCUAAAACUCAAAGGAAUUGACGGGG